UACCAGCGACCCCGAGUGGUCGGGACGAUUAUUGGGCCUAAAGCAUCCGUAGCCGGUUCUACAAGUCUUCCGUUAAAGUCCACCUGCUUAACAGAUGGGCUGCGGAGGAUACUAUAGAGCUGAGGAGGCGGGAGAGGCAAGCGGUACUUAGUGGGUAGGGGUAAAAUCCGUUGAUCCAUUGAAGACCACCAGUGGCGAAGGCGGCUUGCCAGAACGCACUCGACGGUGAGGGAUGGAAAGCUGGGGGAGCAAACCGGGAUUAGAAACCCUA
rnacentral:rRNA from 1 species